UACAGAGGGUGCAAGCGUUAUCCGGAAUCACUGGGUUUAAGGGGUGCGUAGGCGGGGAGAUAAGUCAGUGGUGAAAGCUCGUUGCUUAACAACGGAAUUGCCUUUGAUACUGUUUUUCUUGAAAUUUGUUGAGGUUGGCGGAAUGAGACAUGUAGCGGUGAAAUGCUUAGAUAUGUCUUAGAACACCGAUUGCGAAGGCAGCUGACUGGACAAUAUUUGACGCUGAGGCACGAAAGCGUGGGGAUCAAACAGG
rnacentral:rRNA from 1 species